rnacentral:rRNA from 1 species
UACGGAGGGGACUAGCGUUGUUCGGAAUUACUGGGCGUAAAGCGCACGUAGGCGGAUUUGUAAGUCAGGGGUGAAAUCCCGGGGCUCAACCUCGGAACUGCCUUUGAUACUGCAAAUCUCGAGUCCGGAAGAGGUGAGUGGAAUUCCUAGUGUAGAGGUGAAAUUCGUAUAUAUUAGGAAGAACACCAGUGGCGAAGGCGGCUCACUGGUCCGGUACUGACGCUGAGGUGCGAAAGCGUGGGGAGCAAACAGG